rnacentral:misc_RNA from 1 species
UCCGGUUUGUCACCGGCAGUCUCCUUAGAGUUCCCACCAUUACGUGCUGGCAACUAAGAUCAAGGGUUGCGCUCGUUACGGGACUUAACCCAACAUCUCACGACACGAGCUGACGACAACCAUGCACCACCUGUCACCACUGUCCCCGAAGGGAAAGGUAUAUCUCUAUACCGGUCAGUGGGAUGUCAAGACCUGGUAAGGUUCUUCGCGUAGCUUCGAAUUAAACCACAUGCUCCACCGCUUGUGCGGGUCCCCGUCAAUUCCUUUGAGUUUCAGCCUUGCGGCCGUACUCCCCAGGCGGAGUGCUUAAUGCGUUUGCUGCAGCACUAAGGGGCGGAAACCCCCUAACACUUAGCACUCAUCGUUUACGGCGUGGACUAC